GGCCGUAAGCGCCUUUAGUCCCGGCUACGGAACCGGGGCUAAGGUUUCAGGACUAAAUGUUCCACCUUUAAUCCCGGUUCCGUGGACCGGGACUAAAGGUCCACCUUUAGUCCCGGUUGGUAACAUCAACCGGGACUAAAAGGUGCGUCAGGGUGUGCCACCUGGCCUCCACUUUUAGUCCCGGUUGUUGCUACCAACCGGGACUAAAGACUUUUUUUUCUUUUUCUUUUCAUUUGGUUUUCCAUUUAUGGUUUACAAUUAUGUUAUUGUUAUUUUCGAAUGUGUAUUGUUUGCUGUUAGUUUAUGGAACGCGCACCUAUAAUUUAUAUCAUUUAAAGGAUUACAUAUAAAUAUACUAUAAAACACUAUAUAUAUAUAUAUAUAAUAUGUAUCCAGCGACGAAGCCAGCAGGGGGGCUAGGGGGCUCCAACCCCCCUACCGCUGCUGGUCCAGUGAAAUUUGUAGUGGUCUCUUUCUAAUUUUAGAAACAAAUUUAUAAGGUAGGGUAGGCUGAACACUUUAUUUUUUAGAUAUAUUUUGUGAACUUCAUCAUUAAUCUAUAUUUAUGAGGAGUAAUAGUAGAACUAAAUUGAUGUAGAAAUUUUGUUCAGCCCCUCCUAAAUUUUUUUCUGGCUUCGUCCCUGUAUGUAUCUAUAGGUCCAUAAUAUAAUAUUUACACAUAUGCUUCACGGACAAAGUAUUUACAACACAAUUUAUCUCUGCCACUCAAGCAUCGUACAAAUGAUCAUCGUUAUUUGGUUUCAUCUGCUCCUGAGGGUUGAAGUAGCACUCGCCGCCGGGAUCCAGGACUUGGUCGUUAAGAAAUCCUGCGAUUGUCUCCUGAAUUCCUUUUAGGCGCACCGCAUCCAACACCUGCUCCUUCAGCCACAUCUCCUUUAAUAGACAUUAAAGAAAAAAGUUAGAGGUAUGAAUAGGAUUUAUUAAAUAGCAACAAAUAAAUGAAAUAAACUUAUUAUAUAUACAUGCUACAUACUUUUAGGUGCUCAAGAUUAGUUCUUUUGGCAUACACCGUCAUAAACUCGCACACAUAGUAGCCACACAAAUUGUUGCCCGGUGUCUGCCGUAGAACCCACUAAAGUAAUAUGGGCUUUGAAAGUGCUGCAUUCAACUCUGGACGGUGUUUCUGCACAAACCGAGCCCAAACCCUAGCAAUAAAAUGAUCAUUAUUAAUUAUCCAUUACUAAGUUAAAAGAGCAGAAUUUAAUAUAUAGAGAUCGGAGUUACCCGUGGAUAAUAUCUAUCAUUUUUUGGUAAUCGUCCUGUGGUUUUUUCAAUGAGUCAU
rnacentral:lncRNA from 1 species